CCUACGGGGUGCUGCAGUGGGGAAUAUUGGACAAUGGGCGAAAGCCUGAUCCAGCCAUGCCGCGUGUGUGAAGAAGGCCUUCGGGUUGUAAAGCACUUUCAGUGGGGAAGAAAGCCUUGGGGCUAAUACCCUCGAGGAAGGACAUCACCCACAGAAGAAGCACCGGCUAACUCCGUGCCAGCAGCCGCGGUAAUACGGAGGGUGCGAGCGUUAAUCGGAAUUACUGGGCGUAAAGCGCGCGUAGGCGGUCUGAUAAGCCGGUUGUGAAAGCCCCGGGCUCAACCUGGGAACGGCAUCCGGAAACGGCAGGCUAGAGUGCAGGAGAGGAAGGGAGAAUUCCCGGUGGAGCGGUGAAAUGCGUAGAGAUCGGGAGGAAUACCAGUGGCGAAGGCGGCCUUCUGGACUGACACUGACGCUGAGGUGCGAAAGCGUGGGUAGCAAACAGGAUUAGAUACCCGAGUAGUC
rnacentral:rRNA from 1 species